rnacentral:rRNA from 1 species
AUUGAACGCUGGCGGCAUGCCUUACACAUGCAAGUCGAACGGCAGCACGGGAGCAAUCCUGGUGGCGAGUGGCGAACGGGUGAGUAAUAUAUCGGAACGUGCCCAGUCGUGGGGGAUAACGUAGCGAAAGCUACGCUAAUACCGCAUACGAUCUAUGGAUGAAAGCGGGGGAUCGCAAGACCUCGCGCGAUUGGAGCGGCCGAUAUCAGAUUAGGUAGUUGGUGAGGUAAAGGCUCACCAAGCCGACGAUCUGUAGCUGGUCUGGGAGGACGACCAGCCACGCUGGGACGGGGACACGGCCCAGACUCCUACGGGAGGCAGCAGUGGGGAGUUUUGGACAAUGGGCGCAAGCCUGAUCCAGCAAUGCCGCGUGCAGGGUGAAGGCCUUCGGGUUGUAAACUGCUUUUGUACGGAACGAAACGGCGAGCUCUAAUACAGUUUGCUAAUGACGGUACCGUAAGAAUAAGCACCGGCUAACUACGUGCCAGCAGCCGCGGUAA